UACGGAGGGUGCGAACGUUAAUCGGAAUCACUGGGCGUAAAGCGCGCGUAGGCGGUCUGUUAAGUGGGAUGUGAAAUCCCCGGGCUUAACCUGGGAAUUGCAUUUCAAGCUGGCCGACUAGAGUACGGUAGAGGGAGGUAGAAUUUCCUGUGUAGCGGUGAAAUGCGUAGAUAUAGGAAGGAAUACCAGUGGCGAAGGCGGCCUCCUGGAUCGAUACUGACGCUGAGGCGCGAAAGCGUGGGGAGCAAACAGG
rnacentral:rRNA from 1 species